GGUGUGACUGCGUACCUUUUGUAUAAUGGGUCAGCGACUUAUAUUCUGUAGCAAGGUUAACCGUAUAGGGGAGCCGCAGGGAAACCGAGUCUUAACUGGGCGUUAAGUUGCAGGGUAUAGACCCGAAACCCGGUGAUCUAGCCAUGGGCAGGUUGAAGGUUGGGUAACACUAACUGGAGGACCGAACCGACUAAUGUUGAAAAAUUAGCGGAUGACUUGUGGCUGGGGGUGAAAGGCCAAUCAAACCGGGAGAUAGCUGGUUCUCCCCGAAAGCUAUUUAGGUAGCGCCUCGUGAACUCAUCUUCGGGGGUAGAGCACUGUUUCGGCUAGGGGGUCAUCCCGACUUACCAACCCGAUGCAAACUACGAAUACCGAAGAAUGUUAUCACGGGAGACACACGGCGGGUGCUAACGUCCGUCGUGAAGAGGGAAACAACCCAGACCGCCAGCUAAGGUCCCAAAGUCAUGGUUAAGUGGGAAACGAUGUGGGAAGGCACAGACAGCCAGGAUGUUGGCUUAGAAGCAGCCAUCAUUUAAAGAAAGCGUAAUAGCUCACUGGUCGAGUCGGCCUGCGCGGAAGAUGUAACGGGGCUAAACCAUGCACCGAAGCUGCGGCAGCGACACGAUGUGUUGUUGGGUAGGGGAGCGUUCUGUAAGCCUGCGAAGGUGACCUGUGAGGGUUGCUGGAGGUAUCAGAAGUGCGAAUGCUGACAUAAGUAACGAUAAAGCGGGUGAAAAGCCCGCUCGCCGGAAGACCAAGGGUUCCUGUCCAACGUUAAUCGGGGCAGGGUGAGUCGACCCCUAAGGCGAGGCCGAAAGGCGUAGUCGAUGGGAAACAGGUUAAUAUUCCUGUACUUGGUGUUACUGCGAAGGGGGGACGGAGAAGGCUAUGUUAGCCGGGCGACGGUUGUCCCGGUUUAAGCAUGUAGGCUGGUUAUCCAGGCAAAUCCGGAUAAUCAAGGCUGAGGUGUGAUGACGAGGCACUACGGUGCUGAAGUAACAAAUGCCCUGCUUCCAGGAAAAGCCUCUAAGCAUCAGGUAACAUCAAAUCGUACCCCAAACCGACACAGGUGGUCAGGUAGAGAAUACCAAGGCGCUUGAGAGAACUCGGGUGAAGGAACUAGGCAAAAUGGUGCCGUAACUUCGGGAGAAGGCACGCUGGUGUGUAGGUGAAGUCCCUGCGGAUGGAGCUGAGACCAGUCGAAGAUACCAGCUGGCUGCAACUGUUUAUUAAAAACACAGCACUGUGCAAACACGAAAGUGGACGUAUACGGUGUGACGCCUGCCCGGUGCCGGAAGGUUAAUUGAUGGGGUUAUCCGUAAGGAGAAGCUCUUGAUCGAAGCCCCGGUAAACGGCGGCCGUAACUAUAACGGUCCUAAGGUAGCGAAAUUCCUUGUCGGGUAAGUUCCGACCUGCACGAAUGGCGUAAUGAUGGCCAGGCUGUCUCCACCCGAGACUCAGUGAAAUUGAACUCGCUGUGAAGAUGCAGUGUACCCGCGGCAAGACGGAAAGACCCCGUGAACCUUUACUAUAGCUUGACACUGAACAUUGAGCCUUGAUGUGUAGGAUAGGUGGGAGGCUUUGAAGCGUGGACGCCAGUCUGCGUGGAGCCAACCUUGAAAUACCACCCUUUAAUGUUUGAUGUUCUAACGUUGGCCCCU
rnacentral:rRNA from 1 species